GCUUGUAAAGUUCCUUGCGGACGCAUUCGAGGACGACUCUUACAUUAAUAUACUUGUUGAAAAAACAGUGUAUAUCACUGAAGACACGAACUGCUACUCCUAUAAAGUUUUAGAAGAUCGCAUAAUGAAAUCCAAAGAAUUACACAUGGAAAAUUCCCACGAGGAAGCAGAUUCAAAGAUGAUAACUCAUCUCGCCUCCGUCAAAGGGCCUGCGCAUGUGGUUAUCCGAUCUUGGGACACAGACGUGUUGGUCAUCGCGCUAGCUAACUGCCAUAUGAUUAGUAAAGACAUUUCUAUAUACAUGGAAGUCGGAAUCGCAAGCAAGAACUCCCUCCGUUUUAUUGAUGUUAGUUCCCUGUACGGAAAACUUGGACCUCGAUUUGCAAGAUCUCUCGCUGGAUUUCAUUCUUUCACCAGUUGUGAUCAAAAUCCUGCAUUCUCACAUAAAGGAAAAGUCAGGCCACUAGCGAUUCUCGAAAAAUCAUUACUAUAUCAAGAUGCUUUCUCAUCCCUUGGUGCAUAAGAAACAAUUGACGAGAACACAAUCUCUACAAUUGGGUUGUACGUGUGCGAAAUGUAUGGUUUCAAGAAACAUACUGGAAAUGCAGAUCAACUUGAUGUCGAUGACGCCAGGCUUCAAAUUUUUUCAAAAGUCUACCAGUCUGGUUCAAGCAAUCCAAUGUCGAAAGUGAAAGGGUUGGAUGGAAGCUCACUUCCUCCCUGCAAUACAGUUCUUUUUCAGCAAAUUCUCAGGGCAAAUUCGAUUUGCUCGGGAUGGAAUUUUGCUACGGAUCCUAAGCCUCAUAUUUUCCCACCAGACAAAAACGGUUGGAGGAAAAAAAAACAACUCCGGUGUCGAAUCAUAUAAUCUACAUUGGUUCGAUGGAGAAAUGGUUCCAAAAAAUCUGGAUGACGUUAUGGAUACUGAUCCGCAAGAGGAAGACAAAGGAGAAGAAGAAGAAGAAGAGGAAGAAGAAGAAGAAGAAAAAGAAGGUCACGAAGAAGGAAACGAUGAUUCGGAAUCAGCUGACAGCGAUGCAGAUUAGUCAAAACAAUAAGUUUAAAAUAAAAUUAUUGUUUUUACUUUGUAAUAAUUUACAGUUUAUUGAUCCAGUUUAAUAAUCCAGAAUAAACUACCUGUUUUUAUCAUU